rnacentral:snoRNA from 1 species
UUAUGUUUGCCAACACUCUGGUGCACGAUUGAAAUGGCAGUUUGUUCGUUUUCAUAUGUAUCGUGCACCUAUUUUGGUGCAAACUAGAAAGAUUAGUAGAUUGUGCUUCUUACUCACCGCGUUAUCCUUCUGUCGCUUGACGUGGAUAUCAGAGGUCCAUCUUUGGAGCGUAUAU